CUGGUACUGUACUUUUCAUUUCACACAUCACAAAUUUACAUCUUCAAAAGCUGGCAAACGUCAACACCUCGGGAAAACAGAGUGUGAAAUAUAUGGACAUCUGCUCACCUGGAACAGCCGUAAUCCCAGAGAAAAUUGUAGUCUGCUGGGCUGGGCCGUCAUUGGGCUUUAGUUCCCAUGACCUGACUUAGGGCUAUCUUCAAGCUUCUUCGCUUCAUAUGGCAUAAAAACCCGGCCAGCACAUUCCCCAAAGUAGGCUGCUAGUGAAACCGGAAACUUGUUUCAACAGAAAGUCAACAAUGAAGUCGUUGUGUUCCACUGGAGGGAGACGGGCUUGGAGGAGCUCAGCUUUCCGCUGUGGUGUAACACGUCCAGUGGGCCUUCCUCUCCAGCGCAGGCCCGCUGAGCCGGGCGUCAGCAUUCCGCAGAUACCUGGCCUCCCACCUCAUUCAGCAAGGAAAAGCUCCACACUGGCUGUGAAUCGGGGACGUGAAGGAAGAGAAAGAACCUGCCACGUGAAGACCUCAGGAAACCUGAAGUCAACUUUCUUUUGGUUAAAGAGCAAGGCCUCCUGAUGCUUGAGCACCAGCUCUGCCACUUCCUGGUCAUGCAGCCCUAGGCUUGCCUCUCCUUGCCAGGGCGAACUUGGAACGGUGACCUCAGUGAUGAAGAUGUUGGGGAUUAAAAUCCUGAUGCGUGGUCGGGGGCACCAAGAUGGAGGCCUCAGCUGUUCUCAAGACGGGGCUGCCUUGCUGGCUGCCACAUCAGGGCCACCAUCACCUCUCACCUGGGGCUUGCAGUAUCCUUUCCUUGGACAACAAAGCUGACAAUGAGGGGUCUUCCUGCAGGAUGUGUCCUGAUGGUCUCUGGCUGGAGGAAAUUGAAGGUGUUGCCAAGUGUAAGUAAAAGUGCAGUGUCAGUACAAGAUGAGCUGGAGCCCUCCCCUGCCCCAAAUAUUGAAAAAUAGAUCAAGAAAACAAUGUACAAAGAAAAAAAGAUGGGGACAAAUGAGAAACAUGAAGUAACUUGCCUUCAGUCACCCUGCUGGAUGCCCAGUUCUCACUCUGCUAUCCCAGGCUGCCAUCUUGCCUGUGCUCUUGUCACAGUAUGGCUAGAAGGAGACCAGCCUAACAGAUGGAGAACUGGGGCCCAGAGAGGGGAAUGGAGUGGUCUAAGGCUACACUUGGAGUUCAAGACUGUUUGUCUUCGACGGCAGGCACCAUCAAGUGGCGCCCGAACAGGGACCUGAAGUACGGAGGAGAACAUGAGAGCCACCGCGAGAUAAUAGUGCGCACGAAGCAGGCCCUGCCCUGCCGGAGAUGAUGUUUCCAAAGAAGUGCGACAGCCCUGCUCUUGGCUUCCCCUCGCAUCUGCGACCUGCUGCUGGGCCUGUCUUAUUUGGGAAAUAGAGAGAAAGAGCCCAAGCAGGAAAGCACAAGCCUGAGCCAGAGAGAGAGAGAGGAGGGAGGGACACAAGUCAACAAGCACAGCCACAGCCCUCACAAGAACGGAAAGGAAACCCGUCGCUUCGGUGGGCGACCCUAGAGGAGUGUCACCGAACGAAGGGAGUGUGCCAAGAGAGUUAUAUCAAAAGAAGCAUAAAAACAAACAUAAUCAAAGAGAACUUUCCCAAAUGAGUGACGUUCCACCAGUGACCAUUGGUGCUCUGGUAGAGGUAGAGUGAUGGGUGGUGAUGCUGGAGACGGAGGAG